GGUCGACCUACUACGGACUGAUGAC
rnacentral:rRNA from 1 species